rnacentral:lncRNA from 1 species
UCGUAUCGGGCCAGGUCAAUUGAGCCCACCACCCAGGCUCACGACAGGCAGAAGAGAAAAAAAGGGGCACCCGUGAACCAGCCGAUUCCCCAUUCUCUCCACCGCGUCGUCGCCUCCGACGGCGCCGCCGUUCCCCUUUCAUCUCGACCUCGGGCAAGUAGCUGGCAUCGCUCGCCGUCGUCGCUUCCAGGCGAGGCCAUCGGCGGCCGCCGUCGCUUCUUCCUAGAGACCGCCGCCGUCUCCCCACACCCGCGCGGCACCCCGUCUUGCCCUCUCCCUCUAGGGUUUUCUUGGGCGUCGAAUCGCUAAAAGCUUCAAUUAAAGAUGGCUUAUAUGUAACAACAUGAGCAGUUUGCCAGCAUCAGAUCGGCUUUGCAUCCUUUCUUCUUGAGUUCCGGCGUCACAUCGUAUUAUGUCUAUGCCUGAUGGAAAAUCUCUGGUUUGUGCACGCCUUAAGCGUAAGCGACCAAUAUUAGAGAUUAAUGAUGGUGAGCUACAUGAAUCGCUAUCAAACGAUGCCGAUGACUUCCCCACAGCCUUCAAUUUCAGAUCUAACCGGCCUGUUCGACGCCGUUUGUGUACUCAACUUGCUGAGACUAAUGAUGGUGA